AUACGUAGGGAGCGAGCGUUGUCCGGAAUGAUUGGGUGUAAAGGGCGAGUAGGCGGGCUUGCAAGUCAGAUGUGAAAUACCGAGGCUCAACUUCGGGGCUGCAUUUGAAACUGCGAGUCUUGAGUGAUGGAGAGGCAGGCGGAAUUCCCCGUGGAGCGGUAAAAUGCAUAGAUAUUGGGAAGAACAACAGUGGAGAAGGUGGCCUGCUGGACAUUAACUGACGCUGAGGAGCGAAAGUGUGGGGAGCAAACAGGAUUAGAUACCCUGGUAGUCCGCACCGUAAACGAUGGAUACUAGGUGUGCGGGGACUGACUCCCUGCGUGCCGCAGUUAACGCAAUAAGUAUCCCACCUGGGGAGUACGAUCGCAAGAUUGAAACUUAAAGGAAUUGGCGGGG
rnacentral:rRNA from 1 species